rnacentral:lncRNA from 1 species
ACUUCCCUAUCCCUCCUCCCAUUUCUCAUAGCCUUCUCAGCUCUUCUACCCAGUCGAACCACCCUCAUUCUCCCAACACUUCAAUAAUUUCUCCAUUGGAACCUUUGUCUGGCAUUGAAUUCACCUUGUCACCUAUGUUGGAUGUCUAUCCAAAUAGACAAACUUAUGCGAUUAAAAGGACUGCGAAUGGAAAACCUUUACUUAUCAAAAAUAACAAAAGUUCAGUCCAUAUUGUUGAUAUCACGGAUGCUCAAUCUCCUGAGACUCAAUCUCUAGAGGUCUCUCAAAACUCCUUUAUGCUCCCCACAAGCCCUAAGGGGUGGAGGGAGAAAUAUCAAUGAAGAUAAUUGCUUGGAACUGCCAAGGGCUGGCCAAGCCCAAGGCAGUGCGAUCUCUCAGGCAACUCCUAAAAGACUCAAAGCCUGAUCUCGUUUUUCUCAGUGAAAUUAAAACUCCGCGCUCGUCUAAUAUUCUCAAAGCUCUUGCUGCUUUCUCUCUCUCGAAUUUCUCUCUUGUUCCCCCCAUUGGCUUUGCCGGUGGGCUCAUUCUUGCUUGGUCUCCCAACAUCAACCUUCAAAUCACUGCCCAAAGUAGCUCUUUCAUCAAUGCUACUAUCAUCAGUGAUCCAAACUUCCCCCCUUGGCAUUUUAC